GGGCCGGUAGCUCAGCCUGGACAAUUAGGGGAAAUAGAGCACCUCACUUUUAAUGAGGUGGUCGCGAGUUCGAAUCUCGUCCGGCCCG
rnacentral:tRNA from 1 species